rnacentral:rRNA from 1 species
GGGGGCUAGCGUUGCUCGGAAUCACUGGGCGUAAAGCGCACGUAGGCGGCUUUCUAAGUCAGGGGUGAAAUCCUGGAGCUCAACUCCAGAACUGCCUUUGAUACUGGAGAGCUAGAGUCCGGAAGAGGUGAGUGGAACUGCGAGUGUAGAGGUGAAAUUCGUAGAUAUUCGCAAGAACACCAGUGGCGAAGGCGGCUCACUGGUCCGGUACUGACGCUGAGGUGCGAAAGCGUGGGGAGCAAACAGG